rnacentral:lncRNA from 1 species
CGGCAAUGCUGUAUCAUCUUUCUUCAGACAGUAUUAGCAGUAACAAUGCCUGGCUAAUUAGUGAGAUGUUUUAAGGAACAACGCCUGAGAGAGCUUUUUGUUACUUACACUCACCCGACACCUUGUCACCGCUGAGCAGUUGGAGGUUUGAGGUGCAGCAGGGCCAAAAAGGAGUAAACACAGCUUUUUCUCUGGCCAAGGAUCAGGGGUUGUUCCUGACCGUGUGACUUCUGGCUGGGCCUGUGCCACGCGGAGGAUCCUGGUCACAUGGUCAAGAAAGAAGUUUUGGAUGACAUCAUGUUGCCCUUUGUGAGGCAAAGGCCUUUUAAAGAGGUACUAGAACAAUGUCUGGCUGAGAGCUGUAGGAAUGAACAGAACGUAGAAUGCAGGCAACCUUCAGGGUUCACCUCUUCACAGUACAUGGUGACGGACGUGAUCUGUACCCUGG